AAUUUCUUUCCGUAAUUUCAGAAAUAAUUUCAUUAAAAAAUAGCGUUGCAAAGUUUCAUGAAUUGACAUAAUUUGUCAAAGUAAAACAUCCAAUAAAUAUGGCACUUAUUUCAUACGUUUAACAAAAAGGUCUCUCAAACAGUCAUGCCUCAGCAAAGGUAUUGUCCAAAUUGUAAGAGACCUGUAAUGGCAGUCGUUGAAUACGAAAUUUCUCCAGUGACACAUUUGAUGGCCAUUUGUAUAUGCCUUCUUGGAGGUUGGUGUUGUUGUUGUUUUCCAUAUUUUUUGGAUUUUUGCAAGAGUGCUGAAUAUUACUGCCCACAUUGUGGUACUCGAUUAAACUGAAAGAGUCUAGACCUUUAAAAAGUAUAGACAUUUAAAAACGAAAAGAAAUUGGAUGGCUUUUACGAAGUAAAACUAAGAAAUGUAUUUUGAAAUUGAAACUUUUUGAAAUAAAUAACUGUAAUAGAUUUA